UGAACACAAUGGGUUUGGUUUACUUUUCGCAUCGGCCUUUGUCAAUCGAGGUUGAGUUUAGUGAGGGUUGAAAGUUUUCGAUCUAGAUUGCAGAUCACUAUUCUAACUUUAUACAAACUGAAAGUAUGCGUUGUUGCGUGUUUGUUUUUGUGGGCAUUUGACUGAACAGCCCAGACAAAUAUUGCUACCAACAUGGCACUUCGAAACAGACCACCGCAGUGAGUAAAAGUUAUUUUCCUUUAUUAAAUGUUGACGUUUUUGGGCUGUCUCCUCAGACACAAGCCAUCAGUAUCCCUGCUCUUUGCACCUUGACAUGCAUGUCACCGCUGUUUGUUAACCUAGUUUUGCUGAUUUGUAUCUUGUGAUGUGUGUGUGUGUUUUUCUUAACAGGUGUUAGAUGACUGACAAGAGAUGGGGGCCCCCUUUGGGCCCCCCAUACCAACUUAGUCUUCAAAGGAAUCUAGUGCCAUGGGACUCCAGUGUCUUCAAAACAUCCUCGGAAUACAUGUGUAUGAAUGGUCCACCGAAGGGUUGAUCUGGAAGCCACCGCGGUCCACGCAGUAAUCUGCUGCGUGGGCCGUAGUGGCUUCCAGAGCCAUCUUUCGGUCUUGGUCAGGACUUGUUAGUUGCCCUUCAAUGUAGCAGGCUACGGGUUUCUAGUCUGAGUGCAACCUUGAUUGCAUUUGUAUACUGUUUACCAUUGGAUGUUUAUGCAAUUUGGCUUAAUUCAUCCGCUGUAAAGCUGCAUUUGACUAUUCCAGGGUCGUUUUGUACAGGCUUUCAAUUGACCAUGUUGACUAGUUUGUGGGAAGUUUUUUUUUUUACCCUUGCUUACAAUCCAACGGUUGCGACCACUUAUGCAACUGGGCUGUGAACCUUGCAAUUCUAGUUGCAUAUUUGUACACGCAAGCUUGUCCAUUUCUAUCACCAUCACCAACACUAGCUUCAGCAUUUCCUUGUAGGCCAGUAGCUGACUUCUGUAUUGGAGCGAAGAUUUGGGUAUUUUAAGAUGCUUGAAAACCUAAAAUAAAGCAAAAUGCGUGUCUGGUGUGCAAGAGCCAAUUUGUUGGCUUGCAGUAGUCGAGGAGUUGCCGUAGGUCGUAAGCCAUCUGGAGGUUGUGGCAAUGGAGGCUUGUGGUAGAUCUGCCAUCCUAGAAAGGUUAAUUCUUCUGUAGCAUGAUUAAUAGUUUAGUCAAUUGAAUCUAUUCAUAUAGAACUAUAAAAUCCAAGACUGCAGCCAGUAACUUGGAUCGCAAUAUGUGGAAGGUAUUGGUCUUCAUUUGUAACAGAAUAAUUAACAUGACUAACUGGGUUUCUUCCAUUUUCUAACUAGGGGGACUUGACUGGUGAGUCUACUGGAUUAAUCAGUAGCGGUACUUUGCCCAACAGAUUUGAUGGCAUGACUACAGGUUGGUGGUUCAACACUGAUGUCUCUCUAGGCUUGAGGGAGAGCACACAAGUAAAUUACACGAAUGUCCUGGAGCAAUUGGGAAUACACUUUUAUUUAGUCUACCUGACCAGGGACAUCUUUGAACUAUAGGUCACCUAACCCAAACUUUUCACUCUUGUUAGGUUGUCCUUUUCUCUUGUUUUAACUCGAAAGGGCUGAAAAUAUCAAAAUUUCAGGUAUUCUGUUUGGAUAAUGUGCUAAACUUGUGGCUUCACUAAUAAAAAAAAUUAACAAAUGUAUUUUUCUUAAUGUGGUUAAACUAUUUAAAGAUUUGUAUGCAAAAUAUUUCUGCUCAAUUUGUGGUCAAUGAAACUCAAAUUUUUUAAUUUGAUAAAACACAACUAUGGGUUAAAGGUAUUUGCUUUGGGCAUCUUCUGAUAUUUUUAGAAUCUAGCUCCAUUGCCGUUAGAAAUGGUGUCUCCCAGUACUGCAAAGUGCUUCCACAAGUUUAAAAAAGAAUGGGCAGAAAAGGAACUGCCAACUAAAUCUAUUUAACAUGGGUUGAAAGUUUCCAUGGAAGCUCUUGGCUGCUGGUUCCCAACACAGCUCCACUGUUAGCCUGUGACCUUGCGUUUAACUUUUUUGGACUUUUGGUGACUUUCACAAAAGAGAAAUGAACUGGUUAAUACAAUAAACAAGACAUUUGAAACUUCAGCUACAUUUUUAUCUAUUUGUACUGCCUUUGAUUUCAACCCGUGACAUGUUUGUCAGGUGAUAACUAUGUACCUGUGACCGCAU
ensembl:lncRNA